CUUCCUCCUACUAAAUGAAAAUGGAGCUUGCUGGGUUAGAUAAAAAUCCCUUUGGAAAGGAGGGAAAGAAAGAAUGGCAUUUUCGCCGAGGAUCAAAUCUCUUGCUCAAAAGAACAUAAGUAAGAACCUCAUCUGAUAAAAAAAAAAAAAAUUGAUAAUAGGAAGGGAGAAAUGCACCGUGGUGAUGUUAUAUGUCAGGCAAAGCAGCAGGAGGAGAAGAAAACAAAGCUGCUUGGCUUCUUGGAGUCAAAACCCUUAAAAAUUCAGCCCUACCAUCUUCCUCCUCUAGGCAAGAAUCUCCUCGGACAAUGCCAUUCCUUUUCGGAGAACUCAUCAGUGAGUGAAAAAUAUGAUUCCCAAAAUGGAAAUCAUACACAUGAUUUUAAGAUUGCAGUACUGAAGCAAUCCCAAUUACUACUGCUACGGUUUUUCGGUGAUAGGAAAUUACAGCGACAGUCCUACAGUUUCAAAGCAUACGAUGCUUGUCUAUCAGAAUGUGCGUGUGUAGCUUCUGUUUGUGGCUUCAUGAUGAGAAGCUUUAUUGCUGAAUACUGGGGAGCUUAGACUUUCCCUGGAUCCAGCUUGAAGGAUAGAUCAAACGAAGCAAUGGCCCCGGGUUGUGGUAUGGAUGAUUCUCCUGAUGAAACACUUAAAGCUGGUAACAAGUACCUCCAAGACUCGCUUGAUUUGACGAGGGAGCUCCUGCUGCAUCACAGUCUGAAGGGAAGAUAACAGGUUUUAUAUCCGUGAACGAGCAGUUUUAUGGAUGGAUAGCAGAGUGCCCGAGGAGGCUUCAGAGCAAAUAUGACAGCAGCAGGUACGAAUUUGCAAGUAAGCUUUAAGAUCUUCUUCAAUAAUAUCCCGGAGAAUGUGACGCAACAUACAGCGAAAGAUAGAAAACUAAGGUUUCUCAAGCUUUAAAAAUUAUACUCCUAAAUUAUAGAGAGAGACUAGAAUUUCUUAAAUACUAAAAUAACAACUAAACUACAGAGAAAACCAGCUGUCACGCGUCUUGCGUCGGGAUGGGUGCAAAAUGCAAAUGAAGGACACCAUGAUUUUACCAGAGAAAGACAUCAUUUUUUUAUUCAAUUUAGUUUUUAUUAAAAAAAAUAAUUAAAUUAAAAUUUUUUUUUAAACUGAAACUGAUUCAAACCGAUCUAUUUUAGUUUAACUUUUUAGAACAAAAACUGGUUCAAACUAGUUUGGAUUGAUUUUUUCUAGUUUGAGUUCGGUUCGGUUUUUUCGGUUUCAGGCUUAUAAAACCGAACCGAACUGGUUAAUUUUUUCAAAAUUUUAAUUAGUUUAAUUGGUUUUUUUUUACAGUUUGGUUUUUUUAAUUAUUUUUUUUUAGUUUUUUCAGUUUAAUCGAUUUUUCAGUUUUUUUAAUCACCCCAAAUAUAGCUGUUAAUGUAACUGAAACCGUUAAAGAAGAGGAGGACAUUUUAGACUAAUUUUCUCAAGCAAAAAAUGAAGAUCAACGAAGGAUAAAUGCCUAGUAGCUUAAACAAAUUUCUCAAAUUAAAGCUCUUUACAUAACAUCCAAGAAUAACAAGUGAAAAAGCUCGAACUUAUUAUUUCUUUAUUAAAUAUCAGUUAUUCACAGGGAUUCACGAGAAAAUUACCUCUUAAUUUUACCCUGAUUAAAAAAACAAAAAAAAAACUGAUGGAAUACGAACCCAUUUAUUUAUCUAAUUCUAGUUAUUUUAUUAUUGAAUUUAGUUACUGUUUUAAUAUCAGAAAAGAAAACAAAAAUCCAUUUAUUUACCUAAUUCUUUUUAUAUUUUAAUUUCCUAACAUAAAAUCCAAUGAAUCUCCCCAUGAAAAAGUUAUCCUCGUCUAAAAUCCAAUGAAUCUUCCCAUAAAAAAAGCAAUUGGAUGAACAUGAAGAAUCUUAAUGUGAACUAAAAAAUCCCAUAAUACUAUUAUUGCAUAUAAAUUACCUGUUUGAUGAUGCGGUAACUUUUAUUAUUCAAAGUGUUUUUGAAAUUAUUAUUUUCAUUUAAAAAAAUAUUAAAUUAAUAAUUUUAAGUAUUUUUUGAUAAUUUAAAUGUGUCGAUAUUAAACAAAAUUAAAAAAAUAUUAUUUUAAUAUAUUUAUUUUUAUUAAAACGCACCACAUCAACAAACACAGAAUAAUUUUAGUACUGUUGAUGUAAUAAUCUUACAGUUGAUGUAAAAUGAGAAGUUUGAACUACUUUUGUCUAGAACCUUAGUUUGAUUCGACUCUUACAAGUGUUUUUUCUCUUUAUCUUAUCUUUCUGAUUUAAUUUAACAUCACCAGCACGUAGUCUUCCUUUCUAGUGAUAUCUUGCUUUCAAGCAUCGAUUCCAGGUAGUUUUUAAUUAGCUAGUCACUUCAGUAGAAGCAUAGGCAUAAAGUUUUGCUGUCACUUCCAAAAGAUGUAGCCUUGAAAUUUUGAAAAUCAAUGAUAUGCUUAGAAUGCACUCAUCAAUUAAUUAUUGAUAA